GGGCCUACGGGGCGCAGCAGUGGGGGAUAUUGGACAAUGGGGGGAACCCUGAUCCAGCGACGCCGCGUGAGUGAAGAAGUAUUUCGGUAUGUAAAGCUCUGUCAGCAGGGAAGAAAGAAAUGACGGUACCUGACCAAGAAGCCCCGGCUAACUACGUGCCAGCAGCCGCGGUAAUACGUAGGGGGCAAGCGUUAUCCGGAAUUACUGGGUGUAAAGGGAGCGUAGACGGUUAAGUAAGUCUGGAGUGAAAACCCGGGGCUCAACCCUGGGAGUGCUUUUGAAACUGUGCGGCUAGAGUGGCGGAG
rnacentral:rRNA from 1 species